rnacentral:ncRNA from 2 species
UACGUCUCACGUAACUGGCGAAAAGCUCCGAUAGUCACCAUUUUGGUGCGUGGCGAUCGGUCAGCGAAAGGUGGGCAUCCACCGGGAAACGUGAGAUUUCAACAGCCGUUCGCCUGGGCAGCCAUC